CGCAUUGUCUGUGUCACGAAUGGCGACUGUGCGGAAGAAAGUCCGAUAUAUUUUGCAGUGUUUACGACUUUGCGCAAGUACUGAUCCUUGUGUUUCUCUGUCCAGACUUGUGGCGUUUCCCAUUGGCGUUUGGACACGAUGCGUAUUUGGGCACUUUUUGUCAUCUCCAUGCGUGGUUAUUUCGGCACGCAAGCACUAAGGAGACGUGAAACCUCAACAAGAUAUACCAAUGCGACAAUGAAAGAGGGAAUGUGCGUGUAUGGUGGACGCAACUUCACUUCGGUAUUUCAGUUACCAAAACCAGAGUGUGGGAUGCUUGUAUGCUUUCUUAACACAAGCAGAAUUGCGGUUUCCGGCUGCGGAAGUGCACCACAUGGUUGUAAAUACGACAACAGCAGUGCAGGCGAAAAAGAUCCCCAAUGUUGUAUGUUUCUCUGCCCAGACGAAACCUUCGUGCCGCGUAUACUCUGACCAUCGGAAGAGGCCUUUCGUGGGAGGUGUCUGCAAUCGAUUGGCGCUGUCCACGCUCUUCAAUAAAUUGCAGGAAUUUUAGCAAGAA